UACGUAGGGUGCAAGCGUUGUCCGGAAUUAUUGGGCGUAAAGAGCUCGUAGGCGGUUUGUCGCGUCGAAUGUGAAAACCCGGGGCUCAACCCCGGGCCUGCAUUCGAUACGGGCAGACUAGAGUUCGGUAGGGGAGUCUGGAAUUCCUGGUGUAGCGGUGAAAUGCGCAGAUAUCAGGAGGAACACCGGUGGCGAAGGUGGGACUCUGGGCCGAUACUGACGCUGAGGAGCGAAAGCGUGGGGAGCAAACAGG
rnacentral:rRNA from 1 species